GAUGAACGCUGGCGGCGUGCCUAACACAUGCAAGUCGAGCGAACAGACGAGGAGCUUGCUCCUCUGACGUUAGCGGCGGACGGGUGAGUAACACGUGGAUAACCUACCUAUAAGACUGGGAUAACUUCGGGAAACCGGAGCUAAUACCGGAUAAUAUAUUGAACCGCAUGGUUCAAUAGUGAAAGACGGUUUUGCUGUCACUAAUAGAUGGAUCCGCGCCGCAUUAGCUAGUUGGUAAGGUAACGGCUUACCAAGGCAACGAUGCGUAGCCGACCUGAGAGGGUGAUCGGCCACACUGGAACUGAGACACGGUCCAGACUCCUACGGGAGGCAGCAGUAGGGAAUCUUCCGCAAUGGGCGAAAGCCUGACGGAGCAACGCCGCGUGAGUGAUGAAGGUCUUCGGAUCGUAAAGCUCUGUUAUUAGGGAAGAACAAAUGUGUAAGUAACUAUGCACGUCUUGACGGUACCUAAUCAGAAAGCCACGGCUAACUACGUG
rnacentral:rRNA from 1 species